rnacentral:rRNA from 1 species
AUUGAACGCUGGCGGCAGGCCUAACACAUGCAAGUCGAACGAGUGGCGGACGGGUGAGUAAUGUCUGGGAAACUGCCCGAUGGAGGGGGAUAACUACUGGAAACGGUAGCUAAUACCGCCUACCAUCGGAUGUGCCCAGAUGGGAGUAGCUUGUAGGGGAGGUAACGGCUCACCUAGGCGACGAUCCCUAGCUGGGCUGAGAGGAUGACCAGCCACACUGGAACGGAGACACGGGACAGACUCCUACGGUAGGCAGCAGUUGGGAAUAUGGCACAAUGGGCGCAAGCCUGAUUCAGCCAUGCCGAGUGUAUGAAGAAGGCCUUCGGGUUGUAAAGUACUUUCAGCGGGGAGGCGGUACCCGCAGAAGAAGCACCGGCUAACUCCGUGACAGCAGCCGCGGUAAUGC